UGUGCGUGUGACUUGGAGUAGAUGCUACAGUUUUUCCCUCCCACACAAGUUCAUAUUCCGGUUUAGAGGGUGGGCACUGGGGUCUUCCUGCUCCUUCCUGAGAGCAGAGCUCCCUGUCCAGAGAGGGGCCAUAGGGCCACCGCAGGGCACUGCGUUUCUAGUUCCAGGAGGGCUAGGGUGGCACCCAGGCUGGCUUCGCUCAGGGAAGGCAGAGCUUUCUUGGGGCCCUCCGCCACCCUCUGUGACAGCUAAAUGCAGGCUUAGUGCUGAUGUCAGAGACAGAACACUGAUCAUCACAGCCCACGGACAAGCGGGAGCGCACGGCACCCACCGAGAUAACCGCAAAGCAGGCCCUGGGAGACCUGGCCUCGGCAGAGUUAAAUUCACGGAGCUGCAUAUUUGUUUUCUUAUCUCUUGCAGUUUAAAAUAACAAGUUGAUUUUAAUUAAAUCUCAACAUAAAAACAAGUUAGAAUCCUAUGUGCCAGGGAUGAGCUUUCUAAUGUCGAAUUCUCAAUGAAAGAACUGAGUAAGGACUAAGGUACCAAGAUGACGCCCAGCAGGGGAGUUAACCCGCGUGGGCCGGGCUGCGCUGUUCCUCACCAGGUGACCCUGCCGAAGGGGACGGUGCCGAGUUCUCCAGGCGCAGCCCGUCCCUCCCCAGCCCGGCCACCGGCACGGGGCAGUCAGGAAGCCCGGAGCCUCCCGCGCCCAGCCGCUGGCCUGGGAUCUGAGUGCGCUGUGCGGGAGUGUUGGGGUGGGACGAGGCUGGCUGCAUGCGGAGGGCGGCGGGGCCAGUCAGAGUGUCCGAGGACCAGCGGCAGUUCCUGUCCGCCUCCCUGCUCCUCGGCAAGGCAGACUCAGCCGAGUUUGAGUACGGGACUCUCUCAGCUGGCACGAGUGGUUAAUGGGCAGAACGUUUGCUUUCCCCCCAUCGUUUCUCUGAAAGCAAUGGCUGUGCUGGGUAAGAGCACGAUGAAACAACAAGGGUGAACAAAUACUUAGGAUGGUUCGCAAGCACCGAGCAGGCCUCGCGGAGCAGCCUCUUUCACCUUCUCUUCUUUCUAAAAGGUUGUCCAAGUCCUGGGGUUUGCCGCAAAGCGGGGCUCGUCCCGUUCACUCGUGUUGCGGUGUCCGGGUUACAUGUGCCUCUCUCGGGCGGUGUUUGGAGAGGGGUGCGGCAUUCAGGGAAAGCCCCCGACUUCCGAGGGCCCCCUCACUCCGGUGAGUCAAAGAAACCGGGGAGGCACGAGGCUCCUGUGGCUGGUCAGGGUCACGCGGAUGGCGGAGCAACAGGACCCGACCCUGGGGUUUGGGCUCCGGCCAAAGUCCUCCGUGGUGGGCAAGGUUCCCAUGCCUAGAAAAGGCCGCACCUGGACCAAUCUCUGCCCAUUAAUAAUAAACAAGGGAACUAUUUCCCAAGGGAGAGUGGAGUUGCUUAAUUUGAUUGAAAUUAACUUCAGUGAUAUCCUGGCAGAAGCAUUCCAUGAAAAAUUGUCUUGAUCUUUGUAGGCGGGUCCAAAGGGCAGAUCCUGAGUGGAAUCCUGUUUUCAUAGAUCGUUUCACUCCGAAUGAUUUCAGCACUAAACAAAGCCCUGCUGGAAGUGCGCAGUAACCAAAGGCAGAUCGGCCAACUGAAGGUCCCUGGCCACAGAGCUCUGUGAAUGCCACCUUAGGCCCUGCAUUUUGCUGGAAGAGAUGACAGGGCUGGGCUUCCUUGGGAUUGGAGGGAACUCGGCUUAAUGAAAUGAGUUCUGCUGUCGUCAGGUGGUCACAUUUGAGAAAGCCUCCUAGGAAUUCUGGGAAAUUCAGGGGCCCCAGAGUUGGGUGCACAGGAGGUGCUGGAGAAAGGUGACCAGGGCUUCAGGGUGCGUAAAGGUGUCCCAGGGAGGGCACACAGGUGGAGAGGGCUGGAGGGCUGGUGAGCGCGGACAGACAAAACAGGAUGCGGGCCAGUGGGCUCUCGGGUGGAAGUGGAGGGAGGUCUGGGACAGGGUGGGUGUGGGGCAGCAGGGAGCUGUCUGUCCCUGAGUCUGAGGACGGAGUGCAACUGAGGCGCAGAGGUGAGGGCAGGCCGUGGGCAGGGCUGGCUUGUAGGGGGGACCAGGUGUGUGCCAGGUGCCCCUCAAAGCUCACAGCGACCAGCCCAGGACCCCUGAGCCUGGCUCCCAGGCUGGCAGCGUGGUUCGAGGACGGCAGGGAGCGGCCAGGACCCAGAAGGACAGGAACACAGGGACCGAGGAGGGUGGGCGCAGGGUAAUAGCUGAAGAAGUAGAUUAGGCCACUAACUGGUGUUUAGGAAUGUUAUUUGGGGUCUCCAAUGGUGAAAUUUGUUAGUGCUCGGUACUUACACAGGGAAGUUAUUUCCGUGCAUCUGAGAAAUAAGGCUGCCCCUGGGUGUUCUUUUCUAUUUAUAUUUCUGCUGGGGUCAUAAGUAACAGAAUGUCACUGCAAGAAGCUGAUUCCCACAUUCCUAUUCCCCCAGAGCCAAGGAGACCCCAUGGCCAAGCAGACCCUGGGUGAAGGGGAAGAUGGUCAGCAGGUUCCCUCUAACGCACGGUGCUGGGCUCCCCUUGAACUCCACCCGCACCCCGUGUAUGAUGUGGGAAGGGUAUGAGCACACCAGCAGGCCCUUUGGCUCCGGAUCUGUCUGAAUACUUAGUUCAGCACUCUCAGCACCUCAUGUGGGAACCCUUUUCCCCUCACUUUGUCCUACAGAGAACUAGAUGUGCCUGUCCACACCUGCCUCCCAGAGCAGGUGGACAACAAAGCCCACCAGGUUCAACACAAGGUGUGGCUGGGCUUCUCUAGGUCUGGCUAUAGCCAGCUCAGGCUGUCCCAUAGCACCAGAAAUGUGUGAUUAUUCACAUUUACAAUGCCAGGACAGUGCUCUGGGAAAGGAUCCUGUGGAGUUAGCUGGGAAAGGAAGUUCUCAAUAAAUAUCACCUGGUGCAUUGUGCCAGGUGCGCUUUAGAGUCAGCCAAGAGCACGGAGGUGGAGAUGGCCAUCCUCGACCCUGUCCUCUCUUACUACAUGGGCACCCCUCCUCCACACUGCCCACAGAAAGGACUUCAUGUGGGAGAGAUUUGCUGCCCAGCCUGCCUCUUGAGGGAGCACCAUUGUUCCCACUUGGACUGACCUUGGCAGGACCUGGAGUUUCAUUCGUAUUUGGACAUUUCUGCUAAACACCCUUUAGGACUGUCUUAAAAUCCUGCAAAACCUGAGCUCUGAGCCUACCGCACCCAGCUGCCCCGAUGUCGUGAGGGGCUUCCUGUCCUGGCCUGCUGGCCCAUGACUCAGUGGUCUGCCAGUGACAUUUCUGAUGCCAGUUCCUUGCACACGUGGGAAGGGAUAUUUAGAAAACACAUGAUCUUUGCCCCCAAAGUGUUUAUGACUUGAUUUUGGGGGUGCCCAUUGUAGACAGUCUGUAUGAAAAUCUGCUAUGCACCAACAAAGGCACAUUUAAAAUGCCUGGAAGAGCAGCAGGUCUGUUUGCACAGACCUACCAUGGAACACGGUCCGCGAUUUCUCACUGGGAAGCCAGCACCAGUGCGACUUGCCCCUCCCUGUGACCCUGUGGCAGGACCCGCGCUCUCCUAGGAGGAGGCCUCCGAGUGGGGUGCUGUGGCGGCCGCUCAGGAGGAGCUGCUUCUCUUCGCCACAUCGGCUGUGAUUUGACGGGUGCACGAGGAGCUGCCUGCAGUGAUAAAGAGAGUCCUGGGAGGAAGAGGUCCAGGAAAGGGCCAUGUUUCUUCCGGUAAAGGCGAUGGAGACCGCCCUCUGCCUUCGUUGUCUAAAGCUGAGUCAAGGUCUAGGCAACCAGAGAAGCCACCCGGACCCACGCUUGCCCUAAACUUGCCAAAGCCUCUCGCCUGAACGGGGUGUUCCCUGGCUCCCCUUCUGCAGUAGCAACAGCGGCCCGACGAGAGCCGACUGCACAGGUGGUGGGGACAGAGGGGAGGGGUGAAGCGAAAAAGGCCCUGCUCAGAGACAGUGGUGGUGACAGAAAACUGGAAAAAGGAAAUGUGUGUUUAGCAUUGCCAUUGCUGUGGCUGGUUGUGUAACUGAGGGCUUGUUCCCGCUGAGUCAUCGCACAAAUGCUUUUGGACUGAGGUGGCUGCUCAGAAUACAGGCUGUAUUACUUGGAAUUAGGAAAGUCCUUCUCCUUCCAAGGAGGAGUGGACAUGGUGUCUGUCCCUGUGCCCCGUUCAGCUUGUCGUUUGUGGUGGCGGUCCAGCGGUGAGGGCCACCCUUCACAGUCUGGCUCCUCCUGCUUUUAGGCAAAGCCUGGGGCGCGGGCGGGUGGGCAGUGCAGUGAGUCCAUGGGGGGUCGACCAGCAGCCUCCCCGCUGGGGCUUCGGAGGUUCCCACUGCUCCAGGCAAGGGCAGCUAGCACAGCCAGGGGUCGCCCAGUGCCGGGGGCUGUGUGCGUUGUCUCGGGAGAAGGGGUGGAGGUCUUCAGGAGAGAUGGGGCCUGGGGUCUCAGGCUCACAGAGCUCUCACAUUCUGUGAUGAGAGCAUGGACUCCCCAGGACUCCCGGCUUCCCACGUUUGUGAACUUUGUGAACGGAGGACGCUGGGAUCUGGUGUCGGGUUUGAAGGAGGAUUAAGUGCGAUCCUACACCUCCUUCCUCCAAUGGUCAACAAAAGGAUCGUUUGUUUUUUCUGCUCACAGUAACUGAGGCGGCCCAGCCUCCUCUGUGGAGUGGCUCGAGGGCCACUGGUGCCAUGAACAAGGUCCCAUGGGAAAGGAAGCCUGCACGUCACACAGGCCUGGCUGUGGGGGAAGGUUCCGCAUCUUCUCAGGGACGGUUGUGUCUUUAGCUCCCUGCUGACUCCACAGUCCCCUCCUCCACUGUCUGCCCUGUAAGUGGCUUUGGAAGGUCAUGGUCAAGGACAAAAACAAGACGUGAGCUCUCUCUGCCCUUACCCUUCAUUUUCCAGGUGUGGGAAGAACGACUUUAGGGCCGGCAUGGGCCUUGGAUCUUUUGCCUGUCCUGCCAGCGACUGGCCCAGUGUGAAUCAGUCGAAGGCUGUGUCUCCCGAGAAACCAUCCCACCGACCCAGUGACUAACAGAGGGCGCUGUUGUUGCCCGGGAGAGGAGGAUUCAGUGCCCUUCGACUCCAAUCAGGGGUGGAGAUUUUUUUUUUUUGGUACCAGGAACAGAGCUCAGGACCUUGUGCUUGCCAGGCAGGCACUUGUGCCGCUAAGCCAUAGCCCCGGUGCGAGGAUGGAGAUCUCUUAGCAGUGGGGUCUUUCAGUCCUUCCUGGCUGAGAAAGACUCCAGCUUUGCCUUCGGUCCAGUGCUGUCCCUGCUGGCUCCCACAAAGCCAGGCAAGGAGGGCUGCUCCCAGGGCACAGCAUCCCUGAGGCUGGGAGAUGCCCUGUCUAGUUGGGGUCCCCGUAGUACCACUUCUUCUGAACCAGAGAGCAGGGGUGCAAAAGAACAGCCUACAAUUUGGGUGCUUGGCCUAAAAAAGAGAAAAAAAUCUGCCGUCACCAGACACAAAUACCUGAGGACCCACUCAUUCUUCAGUUGCUGGAGGGCAGUGCCGAGAGGCCCAGGGAAUCAGAUGGUUUCCACUGCCGUGCUCUCCCGGCACACUGGUCCAGCCCGGGCUCAGGGUUGAUCCUUAGCACCAUGAGUGUCAUGUCUCGAAGCUGGACCUGGAGACCAAGGUGGGGCCUCAGCCACUUGUGAAAUUGAGCUGAAGCCAAGGGUCCCCUGGAGCCAAGAGUCCCCCGGAGCCAAGCUGUCCGGGAGGUCCGGGUCCGGGAAUCCACAUGCUGCUCCACAGCCCCAGUGCUCAUGAUCCUUGCUGCACUCAGGAGCCUCGCCCUCUACGCGUCCAUCUGGAGACUCCAGUCCUGCAUAGACAGAUGGGGCUUUUCUCAGAGAGAGAGAGCAACAAAUUCCACAGAUUCACUGAACAACCCUUGGUGACCUGCACAGAGGAAACAAUUGCUCAGACAGAGGCUGCUUUCCUGGGAGUUACGGUUAUUUCUGUGUAUUGAGAAUCAUUCAGAAUGUUUGUUGAUCUUAUUUCCUGACUUGAUCAAACAUCACUCUCUGUGUUUAUAACAUUGCAUAACACCGUAUUAUAUUUGGCUUACUUUGGCGGGAUAAGCCAAACAGAAGGACAGCCAACAGGAGGACAGCCAACAGGAACUCGCAUCUGACACAGCACCAACUUCAGGGAAACAGCUGAAGGUCUAAAAUGCUGAAGGGCCGUGCACGUUCCUGUGUUCCGUGGGGUGUGUAGAAGGAGUGCAAGGAGUGGAAGACUGAACAGAGGGUUUUAGUUCUCACCACUGCCCGGAAAACACACACUUGUUCUCUCUUCCCUCAACUUUGGAAAGUUAAGAAAACAAGACAGAUCACCUGGGACACUCUUGCCCCGUGUUAGAAAUAGCAGGACUUCCGGGAGAGACAGCGGCUGCCGUGGCUCCUUCAUUACCUUCAUGCAAGUGCGUUGAGGAGCCAGGCGGGUCGGCCGCCUCCCUCUGCGGCUCCUGGCCCGGCCGUCUGUGAGCCCCGCAGAGCUGCCGUCCCGCUGUGCCCAGAGGACGCCACCUUUCCCCUGGAGAGACGUGGGUGCAGGCCCAGCCCGUGGGAGGCGGGAUGGAAUUUCGAGCCCCACGCCUGCGAACUCGUCUUUAAUCACAAAAGGAACACUGAUUUAUUUAUUUGGAUUUUUUGGGUUUUUUUCGCUGAUUUAUUUUUAAAAGUCAAAAACCAGAAAGUGCAUAAAACGAACAGCAAAAAUCCUCAGGCCAAUGCUUUUCAGUUAUUACCCGAUUCCUGUGUGUUCUGUUUUCACACACACAAAUACAUACACGCGGCCUGCAUCAUUGUCAUUAACUUCUAACAAGUAAAAUUGAAACAUUUAUAUUAAAACAAAAUCAUCCAGUCAGUGUGUGCUCGUGUGUGCACUCGCGUGAACCCAUCGGAGUGUCGGGAGGGGGUGCAGACCGCGGCCGAGCGCUGAGGCGAGCCGUGGCGCGGCGUGGGCCGGGCAGGUUGAGACUCUGAGGCCGGAGCAGAGGCGGCACAGGGAGCAAAGCUGGCCCUGGCGGGCUGAGCCUCAGCGAUGGCUGCGGUGACGAGGAGCUCUGCUGGGGACACACGGAGUCUGGCGCCUCUGAGGCCCCUGUGACAAAGGAGAGCCAGGCUGGCUCCUCUCGCCCCGAGCCCGCUCCGCAGCUCCCGGGACAGGGGACCCAGAGGGGGGCCCCGAGUCCCCUCCCCUGGCCCACGCGGCCCGGCAGCCCCGCUUCUCAUCCCGGGCGUCUGUCACCCCGGACGUGUCCAGUGACUGUGCUCUCUACUCUGCGCCUCCUGCAGCAGGGCCGCUGGCCUCUGGUUUUCUGGCGGCGCGGAGGACUGCGUCCCCGCACGGCAGGGCCCGCACCCAGCGGCGGCCUGUGCUCUGUGCUCUUCCCCACCUGUGGUGCCGCCUCUGCCUGCGGCUGCGGGGAGGGACAGACACCACAGGGCCCCAGCCCUGGCAUCUGGCACGACUGCGACCACGCCCUGGCUGUGGCUGCGGUGAUGGUGACAUGUCCCUGACAGACGCCUGGAGGGCGCAUUUCUUACGACCCCACUAUGUCUCAGCUUCCUGAGUUCCUGCUUCUCUCCACACCUGCCUUAUUUUAAAACUUGACACAUUAUUCACGUUUUAAACAUUUUUCAAAAUUUUUUUCUUUAAUUUGGGCUCUCUGUGCCUCAAUGGUCUCUUCUGUGAAACGGACAAAAUAAUUGCACCUCACAGGGGCCGUUGUGCGGAUUAAAUCAUUAAUCAUUAAAUCAUUAAUCACCAAGUGCUGAAGGCUGAGCUGGACGCAGAGUCAGAAAUGCUGACUACUGUUAGCAUGAUCAAUUGAUCAGCUACUGACUGACUUUAUAAAUCAUUUUCAAGUUUUGCUAUUAUGAAUGUGCUGUAAUGAAACCCUUUGGAGUAAAUCUUGUGCAUUUGAGCAAGAAUUUCUGUUUGGACAAAUCUUUAGUACUGGGGUUUCGCUUCAAGGUUAGGCCCGCUGACUGCUGGUGUGCUCUGACACAGCAGAGGGAGAGACGGAGAAGCAGAGUGAGCCCGGCCUCGCGCGUGCCUCACAGUCUCCAGCAGCAGUUCCUGCAAGUCUCUGGUGCCCCCCAAAGACGUGGCGUGCCCGUUGGCGGUCACCACCCCAUUCCUCUGUCCCCACAGCCCCUCCGUCUCCGUGACCGCCUGCAGCGCAGACGGACGAUACCAUCCAGCUUGCGUCUGGGUUUUACACCCAGGCGCCUUCCCAGGCCGACUGAGUCGGAGUCUGUACUGGUGCUUCACUUUCUCCGGCUGAGUAAACCCCCUCGUACGGCUACCUCACGCUUUAUUUAUCAAAUGUCAGAAACUUCUUGUGUUGUUUUCAUUUGGGGGCAAUUAUGAGAAAUUCUACAAACACUCGUUGAACAAGUUUGACACGAAUGUAUGUUUUCAAAUUCUUGAGCGUAUGCCUGAGUGUUCAUGUUCGAGUCUGUGUUUAAUUUUCAGACUGCUGACUGCUUUCCACGAUGUCUACACUGCCUUACAUACCGCCAGCCAUGACCCGGAUUCUCAUUUCUCCACAUCUUUUUUUUGGUACCGGGAAUUGAACUCAGGACCUUGCACUUACCUGGCAGGUGCUGUGCCGCUGAGCUACCGCCCUGCCCGCCCCUCAGUUCUCCACAGCUUCACAGCACCUGCUAUUGUCUGUCACCUUGGUGCCAACCUCCCCGUGCCCUGUGUGAGUGAAACAGUGUCUCACUGUGGUUUUGAUCUGUAUUUCCUUAACAGCUGAUGAGCUGGAGUGCUUCUUCUGGGCUCACUGGACAACAGAUCUCUUCUUUAGAGAUAUGCCUAUUCAAUCCCUUUGUCCAUUUUUAAAGUUGUGCUGUCUUUUACUGUUGUGUUCCUUAUAUAUCCUAUAUACAAGUCCUUUACUAGACUAAAUAUUUACAAACAUUUUCUAUUUUCUGGGUGUCUUCCCAACUUAUUUGUUUCGUGCUGUGGGGACUAAACCUCGGGACCUGAUCGUCUAACCAUCGCUCUGCCACCGAGUGACAGUCCCAGGCCUCAGUUUUUCAAGUGCCCUUUCUGGCACACGCUCUGUUUUGAUGAAGUCCAGUCAUGUUUCUCCUUUGGUCCCACAGACUCUGGAU